AUGUGCCUGUUUGUUUCAGACAGAGUCUCACACUGUCACCAGGCUGGAGUGCAGUGGCACGAUCUCGGCUCACUGCAACCUCCGCCUCCCAAGUUCGAGCUCUUCUGCCUCAGCCUCCCGAGUAGCUGGGACUACAGGCGCAAGCCAUCAUGACCAGCUAAUUUUUGUAUUCUUAGUAGAGACGGGGUUUCACCAUGUUGGUGAGGAUGGUCUCGAUCUCUUGACCUCAUGAUCCACCCACCUUGGCUUCCCAAAGUGCUGGCAUGAGCCACCGUGCCUGGCUAACAUGCCUGUUUUUAAAGGCCAUGUAGUAUUCCAUUAUAUUUCCAUUGUUUAAUUGAUUUAACCAUGCCCCUAGUUCUGAGCCAAUAAUGCUUCAAUAGAACUUUCUAGAAAAUAUAUCUUUGCACAAUGCAGGAACAUUUUGUAAGUGAAAAUGUUGAGUUGGAAAGUAUGAACAAUUCUAAUUGUAAUAUAUUUGUUAAAUUGCUCCCUGCCCCCAUCCUCUCCACAGUGUACAUCCUGAAAACAGAAAUGGGGUUUUCACUCACAUUUCAAAGGGGAGCAAGUAAUGAGUUUGCUGUAAUUGAAUACAUACAGCAAUAAGAGCCAUGGGAUGGGGAUGGGGGGUUUGAUCAGCAAUGUUUUCAUAAGUCCCUUGCAGGGAGCCCCCUGGACCAGCAUUGCAUGGACAUUGCUUUGGGUCUUCUGGACUUUUUUUCCCCCGUCAAAACCAGAGAAAAUGUCCAGGCACAUGGCCCAUACCUGUAAUCCCAGCACUUUGGGAGGCCGAGGCAGGUGGAUCAAAUGAGGUCAGGAGUUCAAGACCAGCCUGGCCAACAUGGCGAAACCCUAUCUCCACUAAAAAUACAAAAAUUAGGCAGGCAUGGUGGUGGGCGCCUGCAAUCCCAGCUACUUGGGAAGCUGACACAGGAGAAUUGUUUGAACCCAGGAGGUAGAGGUUGCAGUGAGCCGAGAUUGCACCAUUGCACUCCAGCCUGGGCAACAGAGUGAGACUCCAUCUAACAAACAAACAACAACAACAACAACAGAUUUGGAGGGAAAGGACUUUCAGCUGCCCUGAAGAUGCAUCAGGCAUUGAUCUGCUCUGCAGACCAGUUUUUACAAUAUCUAAUGGUACUGAAUGUAUGAGCCUGUCAUUCACCCCAGAGAUGAAUCUCAACAAAACAAAAGGAAAAAAAAUUUUUACUUGUAGAAAGUAACACCUUACACAGCUCACUGGUCCCUACAGAAGUGGACAGAGGUGACUGUAACACAACUCCAGCUUUCUAACUAGCCAAGCAGCUUCUAAAAAGCCAAACCUGAGACCAAAAUGGGUACAAGCUGCAACAGGGAGAAGAAAACUCAAACGGGAAGAGAGAACCAUCCCCACAUGAUUUCGCCACCUCCUGGCCUUGCAUAUUUCUUUAGCCAAGAUUCCAUGGCCCAUGGCUAUAAUCAUUCUUUUGAAAAUGUGUUAACUUCAACUCCUCUGUCUUCUCUUCCUCCAAGCACUUGGCUGGCCAACCUGUGCUCCUGGGAGGCUGUCUCCUCUGCCCAGCCCACCUGUGGGGUGGAGGGCUGCACAGACAGCAAUUCCAGAAGAAAGUGACUAGAUCCAGAAGGCAGCCAGAGAGGAUGCUACCUGGCCCAGUUUGGGUCACGUGUGCUUCCCUAAAAGCCGUGGUCAAAGUGACUCUGAUUGGCAAGCCUAGGCAACUGGCCUAACCCUUGUAGUGGGAAAGGUGAGGGCCAUCCUCUCCAGAUCCGGUUCCAGAAAGGAAAAGGUGAGACCUGACAGAAAUGACUAAUUGUCUUCUGAGGCCUAAGGGACGUCUGCCAUUCUUUUUAUCCACCCAGUACUUUUGAACAUUUAUUCCUUGUGAGUCUCUAUUUACCACCUGUGGAAGCCAGAUCUUGUCCCCAGCCUCCCUUGCAGCUACAGCACAGGCAUGUGACAUACAUGUUGCCAACCAGAUACAAUGGCAGAUGGUGGAUCUGGAAGCUGGUGGCCCAAUGAAGGAGGCGAGCUGCAAAAUCCAUCCUGGCAACCGUGAGGGAAAUGGGCCAGGCCCCUGCUGACUGCGUGUGAAGAGUGGCAAGAAAGAAGACUUGGACUUGGCUUAAGUUACUUUCAAUUCAUUUCACUUCCAAAUCAGAAAACAAGCCAUAAAAAAGGACACAAGUUGGUGGACAUGGCUCCCCAUGGCUGCAUUAGUUUAUUAUGAAAUGGUACCCAAAGUCUUUAAGUACAGGAGCCCAUGAGAAGUGAGGAAUCUUCUAGGGCAGAGAUGUUCAGAACCAGGGCUCACUGCCUUUUAUGCUAUUUUGGUGGAGGGAGAGGAGAGAACCACAUCAGCACUUAAGUGUCUCCUACAGAGCCACUAUGUCAUGUGAUCCCAGGGGCACAAUAAUACUGGGGUCUGUGGAGCCCCUGGAAAUUGUGCUAAGUGGCAACUCUGUUCUACCCUAUCCUUAUGCAAGGAAACUCUUGUUGCCCCAGUUACAGAUGUCUGUGUUCUUCUUCUUAUGACAUCAUUGACCUACUCAAGGCUUUAAGUACCACAGGCCUGGCCAUGCCCACCGCAGAGGGCAGCUUCAGCCAUCUCCAAGCUGGGAGGAGCAGCGGUACCUGCUGUACAGCUCAUGUCCAAAGGUGGUGGGGUCAGCUCACGCCCAGGCCAGCAGCAGCAGUAGCACUUCCACCAGACCAGCUCUGUGAGGACGUGGGUGUUGUUCAUUGUUGAAGUGUAAUUUACAAGGUCUAGUUCCUGGUUCUCCCGGAGAGUCUGUCUGAGAAAUCAACAUUCUCUAACCUGUUCCUUUUGGGUUAUCUAGCAAAAGGUGAGUGGUCCAGAACCAGAAUGGUGGCAGCUUCUUGAACACCAGCAACCCAGACUCCCUCUGUCUUCUGCUCUGCCAUCUUUGCACACAACAUCCAUCCUUAAGGAUGCCACCUGAUCCAUAAUGGCAGCUGAAGCUC